rnacentral:rRNA from 1 species
UACGAAGGGGACUAGCGUUGUUCGGAUUUACUGGGCGUAAAGGGCGCGUAGGCGGCGCGGUAAGUCACUUGUGAAAUCUCUGAGCUUAACUCAGAACGGCCAAGUGAUACUGCAGUGCUAGAGUGUGGAAGGGGCAAUCGGAAUUCUUGGUGUAGCGGUGAAAUGCGUAGAUAUCAAGAGGAACACCUGAGGUGAAGACGGGUUGCUGGGCCAACACUGACGCUGAUGCGCGAAAGCCAGGGGAGCAAACGGG